GGGGAAUAUUGCACAAUGGGCGAAAGCCUGAUGCAGCAACGCCGCGUGAGGGAAGACGGUUUUCGGAUUGUAAACCUCUGUUUUCGGUGACGAAUAAAUGACGGUAACCGAGUAGGAAGCCACGGCUAACUACGUGCCAGCAGCCGCGGUAAUACGUAGGUGGCAAGCGUUAUCCGGAAUUACUGGGUGUAAAGGGAGCGCAGGCGGGAUAGCAAGUCAGCUGUGAAAACUAUGGGCUCAACCCAUAAACUGCAGUUGAAACUGUUAUUCUUGAGUGGAGUAGAGGCAAGCGGAAUUCCGAGUGUAGCGGUGAAAUGCGUAGAUAUUCGGAGGAACACCAGUGGCGAAGGCGGCUUGCUGGGCUCUAACUGACGCUGAGGCUCGAAAGUGUGGGGAGCAAAC
rnacentral:rRNA from 1 species